CAGGGAAUGGCCUUAAGUCUUGGAGAUAAAAUCAACUUGUCACAGAAGAAAACUAGUAUAUAAAAAUAAACAAAAAGUCCUUGAAGCUUUACAGUUAAUUUAGAUAAGGCAUGGCAGUCAGCCAACAGCAGGCAUCAUCAGAGAACUUGGAAGAGGCUUGGAGGCAGAAACUGAAGUGUGAUGCUGCAUAUCUGGAGGAUGUGAACUGUACGUUUGCACACUGACAGUAAGUUGUUGACAGCAAAUUGCAAAGAGACUAAGCAAGAAUGGUGGUGCUCCCAUGGCAGCUAGGCCCUUAGCAAAAGCAAAGAGAAUAUGCUCUGGAAGGUGUUGGGGGCGGGGGUCAAGAGCACUGGGAAGCAGUACCUAACUGCAUGUUUGUGGCCCUGGCUUCUACUUAGAUAUCUACCAGUAACUAAGGAGAGUGGAAUAGCUUUCCCUUUCUCAGACUUAAUCUUCAAUGGCCAGUUCACAUGGCAUUUCCACUAUAAAGUUCACUUAAGCUCUGAA
rnacentral:lncRNA from 10 species